rnacentral:lncRNA from 1 species
AUUCUGAGCAAUUACUCAAAUUGUUUCACAGUGUGUUCUAUUUAUUUGUAUGAGCAUGGUUAAUAUGCAAACUGGAUCAUCCCUUGGAAACCUGAAAGUGAAUUUUGUGAUAAUACAAGGAAUCCUAGGGUAAUCAUACCAGAUGUCUUCUGCAUGCCUUAAUUUACAAAUGCCAACAAUAAAAAGGAGGAAGAAGGAGCCAGGAAGAUUGGAUGCAGUAGCCACCAAGGUAAGUGAAGUCCUGUCUCUUCUUCCAGUCCUGCUGCCUCCAUUUUUCUUGGUAGGAGAGGUGUGUGUGUGUGUGUGUGUGUGUGUGUGUGUGUGUGUGUGUGUGUGUAUCAGGGAGUUAUAUGAGAGACUAAAAUGUGUGUUUUAAAACACUGCAUGGCAAAAUUUAACCUAAAUGGAAAAUUUACUGAGGGUUGAUUUUCAUUUGUUUGCUUUUGUUUUUGAUUUGUUUCGUUUAAUGGUGGGUGGGGAGGGUUAAUGGAGAUGACAGAAAAGCGAAAUCCUUUCAAGCCAUUUCUUAGUACAAUGACUGCUUCUUUGACCACCACUCUUCCAUUUCAUAGAAGCAGAUCUCAGCUCCUGUUUGAUGAGAUUUUUAAAAAUUAAAAAUAAGAGGCUGGGCAUGAUAUCUCAUGCCUGCAAUCUCAGUACUUGGGGAGAGCAAAGCAGGAGGAUUGCUUGA